rnacentral:rRNA from 1 species
UACGUAGGCAGCGAGCGUUGUUCGGAGUUACUGGGCGUAAAGGGUGUGUAGGCGGUUCUCUAAGUUUGGUGUGAAAUCUCCCGGCUCAACCGGGAGGGUGCGCCGAAAACUGGGGGACUCGAGUGCGGGAUGGGAGAGUAGAGUUCCUGGUGUAGCGGUGAAAUGCGUAGAUAUCAGGAGGAAUACCGGUGGUGUAGACGGCUCUCUGGACCGCCACUGACGCUGAGACACGAAAGCGUGGGUAGCAAACAGG